UUAAGAACUCCUUCAUUUUCCUUCAAGAAUUAGCUUAAAGCUACACCUGAUUGGGUAGCUUGGGUAGACCAAAUGGAACCUAUUAAAGGAAAUUCAUAGAAGAAACUAGGGAUUUAUGAUGCAAUCAUGUUCAGCAAAAAAUCAAUUUGUUUAGGUAAACCUCUUGUAUUUUCAACCUUAAUGUUUUGGUUUGUUUUGACCAAUUCAUUCCACUUCAACUGUGGCAUGAUGGCCCCAACCAUACAAGAUGGUUGUUUUCUCACUGGCCUUCUACCCAAUGGAGAAGAAGUUAGUGGAAUUUUGGUCUCUAGAAGAAAAUACACAUACGUGCCUAAGCCCGAAGUACCCAAGCGUAAGACAAAAGCCAAAACCCAAAUCAUCACCUUCAUCUAAAAAGAAAAACAAACACCUUUCUGCUUCUGGCCCCUUUGUAUCUUACUGGAUGAAAAUAGGAGAAGUUGAGUAUGCUGAAUAUGUUUCUUUUCUAAUUUAUUAGCUCAGUAAAUUCGUAUUUUGUGUAUCCUCAUUGAGUAUUACCAAGGAUUUCACAGAAAUUGCUCUAGCUCUUGUUGAUGAAAGAAAACUUGUCUUAGCUCCAUUAGUCCUUUCUCAUCUUUACAGAGGGAUUUAUGAAUUUGUUCGUACUAAAUUUACCUCUGUUGGUGGACCUUUCUGGUUGUUGCAGUUCUGGUUACAAGCUUACUUUCAUGAGUUAGGGCCUCAAAUUAACCAUUUAGAGCUCCAUCGAGUGCAUGGUUAUUAUUACUUGGAAGCCACUCCCACGGACCAAACCUUUGACCAUUGUUUCAGUGUUUUCUAUAAUCAUAUGUCAACUUGGUCGCCCCAAAACAUCACACCCUUUAACCCGAGGAAAAUAGGACCAGAAUGGUUAUUGUUAGAACCUGGAAAAGCAACAUCUGAACAAGAAAAUGAAUAAGAUGCCAUUUGGGGCUGCUUUUUAAUUGCCAGAAAUCUUCAUUUUUCUCCUGCCCCUCUUUCAUCAACAACCCAUAAGUGUGGAACAGAGUAUUACAAUGCAUCCUAGUUUGCGAGGCAAUUUGGUCUUCAACAACAUAUCCCAUUACCUCCAAUUACAUCAAGCAACGUAUGCUUCAAUAAUAGAUAUUUUUUCAAGCAAAGGGAAAAUGUUGAAAAAGUAACCGAAUACUUUGAGUCGACCAAAACAGAUUUGAAACUAAUCCAUUUCAGCAACAAGCCAUCUGCUACACCUUCAUUUAAUAGUUAGUGGUCAGAUCAUGUCAAUAAAACUCGUACCAAACCUUUGGUUGAAAUUCUUGACCGGUUGAAAAAAUAUUUUGAAGCAAGUUUGAAUGAUAAUCGAAGGAAUAAAAGGCUUCUUAAAAAAUCAACUCAAUCAAAGGCUAUCUUAAGUGUUCAAACAAGCCAGUUACCAAGCCCUACAUCAACUUCUCAAUCAACGACUUCAGCACAAGGGAAAAAACUGAAACCCACAAAAGCUACUGGAAUAGAAGAUCAAAUUCCAGUUCAGGAAAAAAUUUCCAAAACUGUUUGGAAAAAAGGUCAUUUUGAAGAUGCAAUAAAAAAGAACCAAGGUGAACAGUGUGGUUAAGAGGAAGGAAAAGAGGUGCACAAACCAGCCAAAAGGGCUAAGAGAAAACUUGUACAAACCAAAUCCAUUGGAACUAGAAAUGCAGUAAAAAAGAAAUUAGUGUCAGAAGAAGAAAUUGAGAAAAACAAAGAAGAAGUUCAAGAGAAAGAAACUGAAGAAGUUGAUUUGGAAAAAAUGAAUACUGAAGAGGCUUCCACCAAAAAAAAAAUCAAUUCUGAUGAAGCAAAAACCUUGGAAAAUCUAAAAUUUUCUCUUCGAGAAGAAGCUGAAGUACAAGGAACUUGCUAAGAAACUAAAAUCUUGAUUAAAAAAAAUGAAGGAAGUGCCAUCGAUUCAUCUCCAGCAUUCAUCACCGAAACAGAUGAAUAUAUUUCCAAUUUAAUACUUUCAGUAGAAACCAAAACUCUUUAAGAUUCAGAGUCUACUGACUCUAUCACAACUUCUAUUUCAAAGAAUUUCAUUGGUGAAGCCAAAAAAAUUGUAAAGACUAUACUCUCUGGCACCUUUGAAGAUUUGAUGAAUGAUUUUGAUCGGUU